rnacentral:rRNA from 1 species
UUUAUUAAAAACAUGGCUUGUUGAUAAUAAUUUCAGGUCGUGCCUGCCCACUGAAUUAGUUAAAUGGCCGCGGUAUAUUGACUGUGCAAAGGUAGCAUAAUCACUAGUUUUUUAAUUGAAAGCUUGAAUGAAGGGUUUGAUGAAAAAUUGGCUGUCUCUGUAAAAAUUUAUUAAAAUUUUAUUUUUAAGUUAAAAAGCUUAAAUUAACAUGAAAGACGAGAAGACCCUAUAGAGUUUUAUAUACUUAAGUAAUUUUAAAUAUUUGGAAUAGUUUAUUUAAAUUAUCUAGAUGUAUUUAGUUGGGGAGACUGAAAAAUAAACUUAACUUUUUUUUAAUUGAAAUAUUUAUUUGUAAAUUUAUGAUCCUAAAAUUUAGAUUAAAAGAAUAAAUUACCUUAGGGAUAACAGCGUAAUUUUUUUAAGAGUUCUUAUCGAAAAAAAAGUUUGCGACCUCGAUGUUGGAUUAAAAUUAAUUGUUGGUGUAGAAGCUGAUAAAUUAGGUCUGUUCGACCUUUAAAAUUUUACAUGAUCUGAGUUUAG